GGAGAUUUGGCAGAGUGACUGAUUGCGGCAGCCUUGAAAACUGCAGACCGGGAGAUCUCGGUUCCUAGGUUCAAAUCCCAGAUUCUCCG
rnacentral:tRNA from 1 species